AUUAUUUUGUGGUUCAUAAAUGUGAAACACACUUACAGUUUUCAUGCUCAUGUGUGAGAUAUCCCUCCUUCAAACCUUGUUACAAUGUUGGCACAUUACCUGUCCGACA
ensembl:snoRNA